GGGGUGGGAGUGGGGAAGAAGUAUUUCCAAGCUAAGCCCUACAUGUAGGAGUUAGCUAAACAGACAUGGGGAAGGACAGAGUCCCUGCAGAAGGAACAGCCUGAGCAAACACUAAGGGGUAAAAGCAAACCUGUGAGUUUAGAGAACUGCAGCACUUUCAACGUGGCAGGAACACCAGGUUCAAGGGGCCCAGGAGUAGAAAGUGGAAAAGCAGAAGUAAUCAAUGAUUCAGUAACAACAGGAGACAUGUUGAGAUAUGUUUACUCAAUUCUGAGGGCAGUGAGAAUUAUAGAAGGAUUUCAACUAAUGGGCAACAUUGUUGGAUAUGUGUUUUUGAAAAAUCGCUCUGGCUGCUGUGUGAAAUAUCCCUAAUCCAGGCCAGGAAGUGCAGCCCUGUCAGAUGCCAGUAUCUUGGCAUCUAAUGCUCAGCAUCUACACAGUUGCUGGGGAGGGAAUGAUGUGCGGACCCUGCUCUCAGGACUGUCUGGAGAACAGGGUCAGACAGCGCUCCUUCUGUUUGAGGAAGUCAUAUCCAAAUUAUGUUACCAGUGAGUACAGGAGGGCCAUAGGAUGAUUGCCUGAGAGUUAACUAGGAAAGGUAAGAAAAAAGAUCCAAGGUUCAGGUCAGGGGAGAGGCCUUUAUAUCUAUGACAAUCUGAUUGCUGGCUAUGCUACCCUGCAUCCUCUCAUAAGCAGCAUCCCUACCUUCUUCCAGCUUUUCUGCGGGGGUCUGAGGAAGGGUGCAUUGUGAAUGAAGGUCUAUCUAAGACAGCAUUAUCCAACAGAACUUUCUGUGAUGACAAAAAUGUUCUCUGUCUGCACAUUUCCAACGUGGUAGCCAUUAGCUACAUGAGACUACUGCAUACUUGAAACGUGAGCCUGCAAUUAAGAAACUGAAUUUUUAACUUUAUUUUAAUUAAUUUAAACUUUAAUUUAAACAGCCCCAUGUGGCUAGUGGCUAUCAUAUUAGCACAAAUCUAAGAUGCGAGAUCUCCUUGAAGACAGUCCUAUCACAUGCUGAGCAUGUAGGUGGUUCUUAUAAGCAAUUUUUGUUAUGCCUGGAGGCAGUGUGGUUUAGGGGAAGACUUUGGACAUUGGCAUAGUCAGAUUGAAUUUAAAUCCCAUCUGUGCCACUGUAUUGGUCAGGCUAGGCUUUACUACUUUAACAUGCGUCACCCACAUUUCAGCAGUUUCACAUAAUAAAAAUUUAUUUAUUUAUUUAUUUUGCUUAUUUCACAGUUCAAAGAAUGUUGGGAGGGAUCUCUACUUCACAUAGUCACCCAGGGACCCAAGUUCCUUCGUUCUUGUGGCUCUGUCCUCUUCUAAGCCCUUGAAAUUUUUUCCAUUCAGCUAGUGGAUGGAGAAAGAAAGAACAUGCUAAAUUGCCCUAGAUGUUUUUUAUGGGACUGGCCUAUAUUACUUUGGCUAGAACUUAGUCAGACGGCCAAACCUAACUGCAAGAGAACCUGGGAAAGUAAUCUAACUGUAUCUACAGAAAAGAGGAACUGAAUUUGAUUAGCAUCUAGUCAGUCUCUGCCACAAGUAACUACUACCUUAGGUCUUAGUUUUCUUAUCUGUAAAAUGGAACCAACAUGAGAACCGGUGAAAGCUAAAUGAAGUAAAGUAUGUGGAAAAUGAUGAAUCCAGCUGGGAUUCAUGACCAUGACUCUUUUCUCUCAGCUUGGAUCUCAUCACAGCUAUUGAGCAUCAUCUCUGCUGACAGAAAAAAAAAAAAAAAAAA
rnacentral:lncRNA from 1 species